GCGGGUGUAGUUCAAUGGUAGAACGAGAGCUUCCCAAGCUCUAUACGAGGUUCGAUUCCCUUCACCCGCUCCA
rnacentral:tRNA from 1 species